CAUUAUAUUUCAUUUCUAUGUUAAAAAUAUCAUGAUAGAGAACAAUCUAGAAGCGUUUUACAUAAAACCGAAUGUUGAUUAACGCUAUGAGGUAGUUGUUCAGACGCAGUUGAUCGUAUCUGCAGGCCACAUUCAUUUUCUAGUUAUUUUCUCCGACUGUCUGUAAACAAAACAGCCAGAGAUUUUCAAAACAGUGGGAUUAUACAUGAUUUGACAGACCACUUCCUGAGUAGCUUGGGUACGUCGAUCUCGGCUGUUAAGUAAACUGUAAAGUGCCAAUCUCGCCCGGUUUACCAUGCAUGGUUUACGAAAAGAAGCGUGUCUGCGCUGUGUUACAGAGAUAAAGAAAGUAAAUAAUCUAGACGUCAAGGAAAUGAUUUCACAACUAAAAUCAAGCGAACGACAAAUCUAGAACAAAUACCGAACGACAACGACCACUCACUUGACCCAAUUUGUUGAUCGGUCCUCAUUAUAAUCCGCAAUAUUUGAUAGGUCAACAAGGGUGGAAUGGAAGAUUAGUGGGGAUCGUGGAAGGCUGAACUCAGACCUCGGAUAAGCGCCUUUGUUUUUGUCUCAAGCUGUGAACUGCGCAGACAUAACGUGUCCGCGCACGCGAAGGCAACUCGUGACAAACGAUAAAUAACGGUCAAACCAUCAACCACAACGUGACAACAUGGUCGCGGCUAGGAGAAAUUAUGCGGAAUCGUCAACAUGUCGCACUUAAAACGAUGCAACUUAAAAUGCGCGGGAACAACGAGACUAUACCAUAGCUCGUAAAAAGUUAGUUAUAGCGAAAACAUUGUAAACUUUCAUAUGAUAUCCAUAUCCGGAAUAUCAUACGGAGGUACUUUAUCCAGAGGUUUAGAAAAGAGUGUUUGCGUGUACGAUACAUUUGUUUUAAAGGUGCUUAUGUGCGUUAAGCGUUCAACGUUUAUGGGCUAAAUGUGA